AGCUGGAAAGCUAACUACAAAGCCUCUAAAAGUUACGUAACAUGAAGAAACACACUCGAUUCUGCCUCUCCCAUUGAAUAGAGCAAUAAAACAUGGACACAACACACAAAGCAGCUAUUUGAGGACUCUGAGAAGGAAAUGGCAGCACACAGAUUGGGGGAGAAGACCAGAAUUUGAAAUGCUGCUGAACCACAGUAGAGUGAUACAAGAUGUGACCGUUGAAGAAUGCUGGAUGAAAGGCGACUGCCUUCAUGGAACCCGUAUGGACUCCGUGUAUAUUUUUUGGGUAAUUUCCUAUGACUCAGUAAUUAUUUCAAAAUAAAAAUGUUUAAAAAGU